UAAAACUAUCCACUUUCAUAUUGUAAAGAUAAAAAUUGUCCACUAAGAUAAAAAUAAUAAAAAUUGUCCACUUUUUGAUUGAAAAGACAGAAAUACCCUUUACAUUAAAAUUUAAAAAAAUGGCCACUUUCUCUAGCUCUCUUCCCUCGUCCUAAUCGAAUAUGGAGAACAAAAUUUCCAACUUGUAAAAUCCCUAACUUCAUCUCCUUCAAUUUCCGGCGAAGACCACCGCUAUCAGUCCGACGCCGUCGCCGCCGUAGUUGCAGGGCCACCUGCGACGCCACACUCUCUUCUCCUUCAGGUAAUGAUCGAAAUUCGGCGGAUCGGCGUGGCCGAACUCGGUGCGGAUCUCGAUGAUUAAGAUCUCCAUGGCAGACGUUGAGGUAGAGCGCGCCGGCGGCGAGUUAGUCGUAGAUGGAGAGGUUUUGGCACUAGGCGAAGGGGAGUUCUAGACCUCCGAUUUGGCACGCGGCAGUCUCUCUCUCUGUCUCUCACAAAUCCAAAUCGAAACACACACACACGACUCAAAUCUAUCGGGCUCCAUCUCCUCAAGGUCGUGCUGUGGAAGCGAUGGGCCGGCAGCCGGGAUGCUGUCGCACCCGCUCGGAUUAUUUGAUAUCCCCCUUUUCUGCUUCACUUUCCUGUGUAGCUGAAGAGAAUAGAGAACAAAAUUAAUCGGCAAGUGACCUUCUCCAAGCGGCGAUCGGGACUUCUCAAAAAAGCUCAUGAGAUCUCCAUCCUCUGCGAAGCCGAUGUCGGUUUAAUCGUCUUCUCCACCUAGGGCAAGCUCUUUGAAUAUGCUACUGAUUCGUGGUAUGUUGAACUUCAUUCUUGAUACAAGCAAGAUAGAAGCUGGGAAGAUGCAGCUUGAGGAGCAAGUGUUUGACGUGGAGCAGCUUCUGGAGGACGUGGUUGAUCUAUACUAUCCUGCUGGCAUGAAUAAAGGCAUAGACGUGAUCUUGGAUCCAUGCGAUGGCUCUGUCUCGAGAUGUCGUUGGGCUAUAGGUGAUGCAUACAGUUGGGAUGCUAACUUUGUCUAUGUAGAAAAAAAAAGAAUACGAUUUGAUCAUAUGACUGCCACUGUUUGUUUCUUCAUCAUAUAACUUGUAAUUGUGCAUUAGAUUCAAGUAUGUAGCAAUAACUUGCGAUGUGAAGAUGAUCAGGUGGUGCAAGUGGUGAUUCAUGAGCUCGUUCGUGCUUAUGAUGAGUGUCGUGCUGCUAAUCUCGACUGGAGUAACUGCGCUCAUCACGCUUGCAAUGAGGUUAACUAACUAUCAUUAAGAAAUCUAAGCAUUGUUUAAUGCUUCAUCAUGCUUUUGUAAUUCUUGGUUAUGCAUAGUAUUUGUUGGAGCAGAUUCGAGCUAAUCAUCUCAGCGGUUAUUGCCACUUGAAACAAGAGCUUCUUCGUGGGCAUUUGAAGAUAAAGAAAAUACUCUCACAGUAUUAGGACUGGAUGAUACACUGCAAUAAACUGGAGCAGAGACUGAAUGUUAGUGAAAUUUGUAGCAGCAAGGAGCAAAUCAUGCAAAGAGUAGGUAACAUUGUUGGAUUAGAAACUCCUAUUAUUAUAUACCUUGUUGUUGCUGAUGAUCUCCUUGAAGAUAACUCCGUACUCGAGAGGUGGGGCAAAGGUUUGCUUCCUUUCGAGAAGAAGAAGUUGGGAGAAGAAAAAGUUGGGUGUUCUUGACACGUACAAGAAGCACCCCUAUCUGAUUCAAUCGGCUAUAGACUAUGAAGUUUGCUUGAGAUCUGAUGUGUUUGUGGGGAACACCUUCUCGACUUUCUCCAGCCUUAUUGUUCUUGACAGAACUCAAUUGAUGAUCAGCAAGGGUCUUACACAACAGUGCGGGUUAGAUGUUAGAUGGCCUUCUUAUGCCUACAAUUUAGAAGGUGAAUUAAAUGGUCCAUGCCCUUGGGCAGCUAAUAUGUCGGAUGUGAGCCUCCAAGCCAUUAGUUAUGGUUCGAAUCAUGUUUCUUGUCGAUGAUUCUUGAGUUUUGUUUUCCAUGCUUAUUGUGGGACGCGGUUUUCGACAAAUUCGGUGGUAAACCUUCAACUCCUUUUUGUAGAUGGCAUGAGAUUUUCUGCUAGAGCAAUGAAAGCAAUGAGAGGAAACCCAUAUUGUUCGGGAAUAAAAGCGGAGGAUGCCAUGAAAGCUAUUUGGAGUACCUGCUAUAACGACACUGCGCCCUUCGACACUUGAGAGAGGCUGUUACUCACUUCUCUUGGCAUCAAAUUAAUUGCCACUCUGAAGUUGCUACUGCACUGAUUAUGUAUUUAAGUUUACAUUCUCGAGUUAUCUUUAAUCCACGCAGAUUUCACAUUACUACUAAUUUCUUUGUUGUAGAGCUGGUUAUGGAGUUUUGUUAUUUAUUUGUUAAUUUAGUGUUUUUUGGUUACUUGAUCUAUCCUCCAAUUUUGGGGGCCGAAUUGGAAGCAAUUGAUUUUGAAAUUAUUUUUGGGUGAAUGUUUCUAA